GAGUUUGAUCAUGGCUCAGAUUGAACGCUGGCGGCAGGCCUAACACAUGCAAGUCGAGCGGAUGACGGGAGCUUGCUCCUUGAUUCAGCGGCGGACGGGUGAGUAAUGCCUAGGAAUCUGCCUGGUAGUGGGGGACAACGUUUCGAAAGGAACGCUAAUACCGCAUACGUCCUACGGGAGAAAGCAGGGGACCUUCGGGCCUUGCGCUAUCAGAUGAGCCUAGGUCGGAUUAGCUAGUUGGUGGGGUAAUGGCUCACCAAGGCGACGAUCCGUAACUGGUCUGAGAGGAUGAUCAGUCACACUGGAACUGAGACACGGUCCAGACUCCUACGGGAGGCAGCAGUGGGGAAUAUUGGACAAUGGGCGAAAGCCUGAUCCAGCCAUGCCGCGUGUGUGAAGAAGGUCUUCGGAUUGUAAAGCACUUUAAGUUGGGAGAAGGGCAGUAAGUUAAUACCUUGCUGUUUGACGUUACCGACAGAAUAAGCACCGGCUAACUCUGUGCCAGCCG
rnacentral:rRNA from 1 species